rnacentral:rRNA from 1 species
GACGAACGCUGGCGGCGUGCUUAACACAUGCAAGUCGAACGGUAAGGCCCUUCGGGGUACACGAGUGGCGAACGGGUGAGUAACACGUGGGUGAUCUGCCCUGCACUUCGGGAUAAGCCUGGGAAACUGGGUCUAAUACCGGAUAGGACCACUGCCUGCAUGGGUGGUGGUGGAAAGCUUUUGCGGUGUGGGAUGGGCCCGCGGCCUAUCAGCUUGUCGGUGGGGUGAUGGCCUACCAAGGCGACGACGGGUAGCCGGCCUGAGAGGGUGACCGGCCACACUGGGACUGAAAUACGGCCCAGAAUCCAACGGGAGGCAGCAGUGGGGCAUAUUGCACAAUGGGCGCAAGCCUGAUGCAGCGGCGCUGCGUGAGGGAUGACGGCCUUCGGGUUGUAAACCUCUUUCAGCACCGACGAAGCGCAAGUGACGGUAGGUGCAGAAGAAGGACCGGACAGCUACGUGCCAGCCGCCGCCGUAA